rfam:Aedes aegypti strain Liverpool supercont1.137 genomic scaffold, whole genome shotgun sequence.
GGGUCUGUAGCUUUGAGGUUACGCUUUCGCUUCAUAAGCGGAAGGUCAUGGGUUGGAUUCCCAGCCCAUCCA